rnacentral:tRNA from 1 species
GGCUUGGUAGCUCAGUCGGUAGAGCAGAGGACUGAAAAUCCUUGUGUCGCUGGUUCGAUUCCGGUCCAAGCCA